rnacentral:rRNA from 1 species
GAGUUUGAUCCUGGCUCAGAUUGAACGCUGGCGGCGUGGAUAAGGCAUGCAAGUCGUACGCGAAAGUCCCCUUCGGGGGGCCAGUAGAGUGGCGAACGGGUGAGUAACACGUGGGCAACCUACCUUCCGGUGGGGGACAACUCCGGGAAACCGGGGCUAAUACCGCAUACGUUCGAAGGGUCGCAUGGCCUUUCGAACAAAGCGGGCCUCUGCUUGCAUGCUCGUGCCGGAAGAGGGGCUCGCGGCCGAUUAGCUUGUUGGUGGGGUAACGGCCUACCAAGGCGACGAUCAGUAUCUGGUUUGAGAGGACGAUCAGACACACUGGAACUGAGACACGGUCCAGACUCCUACGGGAGGCAGCAGUGGGGAAUUUUCCGCAAUGGGCGAAAGCCUGACGGAGCAAUACCGCGUGAGGGAUGACGGCCUAUGGGUUGUAAACCUCUUUUUUCAGGGAGGAAUCAAUGACGUGUACCUGAAGAAUAAGCAUCGGCUAACUCCGUGCCAGCCGCAC